rnacentral:rRNA from 1 species
UCCGUAGGGUCCGAGCGUUGUCCGGAAUUAUUGGGCGUAAAGAGCUCGUAGGCGGUCUGUUGCGUCGGUUGUGAAAACCUGGGGCUCAACUCCAGGCCUGCAAUCGAUACGGGCAGACUAGAGUUCGGUAGGGGAGACUGGAAUUCCUGGUGUAGCGGUGAAAUGCGCAGAUAUCAGGAGGAACACCGGUGGCGAAGGCGGGUCUCUGGGCCGAAACUGACGCUGAGGAGCGAAAGCGUGGGGAGCGAACAGG